UACGUAGGGUGCGAGCGUUUGUCCGGAAUCACUGGGCGUAAGCGUGCGUAGGCGGUUUGUUAAGUCUGUUGUGAAAUCCCCGGGCUCAACCUGGGAAUGGCAAUGGAUACUGGCAAGCUAGAGUGUGAUAGAGGAUGGUGGAAUUCCCGGUGUAGCGGUGAAAUGCGUAGAGAUCGGGAGGAACAUCAGUGGCGAAGGCGGCCAUCUGGAUCAACACUGACGCUGAGGCACGAAAGCGUGGGGAGCAAACAGG
rnacentral:rRNA from 1 species